rnacentral:lncRNA from 1 species
CAAUAUAUGGGGGAAAGGCGUGAUUGCUGUGGCCUGUGACUCAGAGAAAGCAGUAACUGCUGAGGAAAUGAAGACACUUCUGGGACGUUUGCCCUAAUAGGAUCCUCUGAACAAGUCUGCAGAAAAAAGGACAGGAAUCUGGAGAGUCAGAUCAACACUUGAUGCUCAAAUAUUGGCGUUCUACAGUACUGGCAAAGCACUCAACUUCUCAGCAUACAGUGUCUUGGGAACCAGAGAAAGAGCAGGUUGGCUUGUGACCUUUGGACAGGUUUCCGUGUAACGUGC